rnacentral:rRNA from 1 species
AAACUUUCAACAACGGAUCUCUUGGUUCCGGCAUCGAUGAAGAACGCAGCGAAAUGCGAUACGUAAUGUGAAUUGCAAAUUCAGUGAAUCAUCGAGUCUUUGAACGCACAUUGCGCCCCCUGGUAUUCCGGGGGGCAUGCCUGUCCGAGCGACAUUU